UACGGGGGGAGCAAGCGUUGUUCGGAUUUACUGGGCGUAAAGGGCGCGUAGGCGGCAAUUCAAGUCAGCUGUGAAAUCUCCGAGCUUAACUCGGAACGGUCAGCUGAUACUGUUUUGCUAGAGUGCAGAAAGGGCAACCGGAAUUCUUGGUGUAGCGGUGAAAUGCGUAGAUAUCAAGAGGAACACCUGAGGCGAAGGCGGGUUGCUAGGCUGACACUGACGCUGAGGCGCGAAAGCUAGGGUAGCAAACGGG
rnacentral:rRNA from 1 species